UUCCAGGAAAUAGCCUCCACGUGAGACCGUACCCGAAACCGACACAGGUGGUCAGGUAGAGUAUACCAAGGCGCUUGAGAGAAUGACGUUGAAGGAACUCGGCAAUUUACCUCCGUAACUUCGGAAGAAGGAGGCCAUGCAUCACGCAAGUGGUGUGUGGGGGCACAGUCCAGGGGGUGGCAACUGUUUAACAAAAACACAGGACUCUGCGAAAUCGCAAGAUGACGUAUAGGGUCUGACGCCUGCCCGGUGCCGGAAGGUUAAUUGAUGGGGUUAGC
rnacentral:rRNA from 1 species